GUGUCAAUAUCAAUGUCCAAGUUGAAUUGAUAUUGGCCCCAAUAUCAAUGUUGAGGUUUGAAUAUGAACAUCCAAACGAAGCAUUGCGGUUUCACACGAUACGUAAAUAUCUCGGGAGCGAUAUUUUUUCAAUGGCGAUAAAUUUUAUUCAAUCAGGCAGAAUUGGAUCCAGGAAAAAGCAGUGACAUAUAGACUACGAUUUCAGAAUGCAUAUCUCAAGGACGACUAUUCUUAUCAAUAGGUGCACUGAGUUUCUUGGGAGCGCAACAACAUCGGUGGUGAAACUCGCCUAUCAUUUGGCAAGAGGCAAAUAAACCAUUGCAGUCACGCCUGCACAACUCUAGAUCGCAACUCAGGAAAGGCAUGAAACAUCCUCCUUCUACAUGUUCACAGAAAAACAUUGUUAGAAGAAUAUCCAGACAACAUGGCAAGUUACGCUUCAGCAUGGACCAGAUGCCAUAAGAUCCAUACAACUUGACAUUGUGAAAUAUAUAGAAAAUUAGCAUCACAUGGCAAAACCACAGUGACUUAUAGUAGGCAUGUACCUGGGCCAAACGCAUCGCAAGACGAAAUGACAGUAGCGAUGAGCACAAGAGCCAACAAGCACUGGGCACUUGCGUUCUUGUUGAAUAUUGCCAUGACGGCCUUUUUUCCUUCUCUAUGUUAUGUUGUCCUUCGGAAUUUCUGUGGGUUGCAAGGCUCUCUUUUGGCAGUACUUUUAUAGAAGCAAAUGAAUGUUUUGGAGCACCAUAAAU
rnacentral:lncRNA from 1 species